rnacentral:rRNA from 1 species
UACGUAGGGGGCUAGCGUUGUCCGGAUUUAUUGGGCGUAAAGAGCGUGUAGGCGGCCAGGUAGGUCCGUUGUGAAAACUCGAGGCUCAACCUCGAGACGUCGGCGGAAACCAUCUGGCUAGAGUCCGGAAGAGGAGAGUGGAAUUCCUGGUGUAGCGGUGAAAUGCGCAGAUAUCAGGAAGAACACCCGUGGCGAAAGCGGCUCUCUGGAACGGUACUGACGCUGAGACGCGAAAGCGUGGGGAGCAAACAGG